rnacentral:SRP_RNA from 1 species
GUGCGGGUCCUGUGCAACAAGGCGCUGUGAACCAUGUCAGGCGGGGAACCGAGCAGCAUUAAGCAGUUUGCAUUGUGUGACGCAGUCUCGCCUGCACGUC